rnacentral:lncRNA from 1 species
CCUCGCGUGGGAACCCUCGCGUAUUUAAAUUGCGCCUGUGAGACACUUAACCURAUGUUUGUGCUUGUCAGUAGCUUGGGAGAGCUUUGCCCAGCCCUGCUGCGGAGAUCACGUGCGGGUCUCACUGCGCCCGUUUCCCAGAGCAGCCCGUAGGCGACGUGGGAGCCGCUGUCCCGAGCGCACAGGUGCGCGGUCCGGGCACCCGGGAGCUCCCGCCAGUGACGGCGUGCGCGAGGGCUGGAGAAAGCCCUGCUCGAGCAGGACGCGGUGAGACAAACGAAAGAGGCUAAAAGAAAAACUYGCAAAAUCUUUGUUGACCCUUCGUAGUGAGGAUGCUGGUGGGACCCCAUCUCUGGAUUUAGGAAAUAGCCUGCCUUUAGAAAAUAGUUACUCCUGAGCUUUCCAGACGCGGCUCAGGAUGAGGUGGGAGCCCCGUCCUGGCUUUGGGAAGCCCUCGAGGUCUGACCCGGCUCUUYGCUGGCGCUCCUGGCCCGCCGGCACACCGGCUCCCCGAGGCAGGGUUAUCGCCUGUUCGCGCGGCGCUUGGAUGUGCGCAGAGUAUUACAGGAUGAACUAAAAUAUCCUGUGUUAAAAAGACCGGGUGAAAUUAGCUUCUCCGCAUGGGAAGUGCUCUGUACCGCCAGGGUCCCGGCGCCAUUCCCGCAGUGGGAGGAGCGGAGCUCCCGGCCUCCCUGGGACUCGGUCCCGGAUACGGCCCGAGGGAAAACAGAAAUAUGCCCAUGGCACCUUGAAACGGCGUGCCUCUCGCCCUCGGGGCCUUUGGGUUGGCAAUCCUUGCCAGGGGUCUCCGCUCGGACGUGGCACGCUGUGAGAGCUGGGAGCUUCGCUGAAAAGGACCCAUGGAAGAGGUCGGUAUGGAAAACUUAUACGGGCGCYGCUCUGGGCCAGAUCUGGAAGAAACUGUUAACUCUGUGAACAAAGUAUUGUCUGAGCGCGCUUUUCUGACGCUAUAUACGAAUGAAGCCUUGGGAUUUCUUGUGCUCUGGUUCUAAUGCAAGGUUUAAAAAGAGGUCUGUCUUAAAAUACACGUUUUGCUGUCCAGGCAAAAAUGAAUGAUCUGCAUAUUUCAGUGGUAAUGUUGAUGCUCUGGGAGGGCUCCUGCUGCUGGGCUUUCACCAGGCUGCUGUGUUUAGGGUUCAGGCUGCAUCUGUCUGGAUUUUUCACCUUCCUUCAUGGAUCCGACUCUAUUCAUAGUCCUUUCAAUAACAGUCCUAUAUACGUUUUUCACUGCUAUUUUCACAUUGGCAUUUAAUCCAUCAGCAUCUUCAGUUCAGGUCUUGUACUUCUUGCAGGUCCGGGUUUGAUUUUAACGCCCCAGCGCAGGCCUUUUGUACUUCCCUGCAGCCCAAGCGGCCGCGUUGGGCCCGGCCCCGCGGCAGCGCGGAGAGGUCGCCCCAGCCCGGCCCGGGAGCCCCGGCGCAGCGUAGGGGGGCGCCGGGCACUGGGGGGCCGGGGCAGGAUGCCCUCAUUCGCUCUCCAAGUAGCAUUUUGCAUUUAGGUUUCGCUGACAGGGAGUACCCUGCACCUAAGCAGAAAAAAAUAAAAUUUGCAUGUAUGGGGGUUUGCA